CGAUCUGACUCAGAACGAACGCUGGCGGCGCGUCUUAAGCAUGCAAGUCGAACGGCAAGAGGUAGCAAUACCUCCUAGAGUGGCGGACUGGUGAGUAACACGUGGGUGACAUACCCUUCAGAUGGGGAUAGCUAUUAGAAAUAGUAGAUAAUACCGAAUACGAGCACAGGGGGUUAGAGAUCUGUGAGGAAAGGAGCUAAGGCUCCGCUGAAGGAAUGGCCUGCGGCCCAUUAGCUAGUUGGUGAGGUAAGAGCCCACCAAGGCGAUGAUGGGUAUCCGGCCUUAGAGGGUGAACGGACACAUUGGGACUGAGAUACGGCCCAGACUCCUACGGGAGGCAGCAGCUAAGAAUAUUCCGCAAUGGACGAAAGUCUGACGGAGCGACGCCGCGUGGAUGAAGAAGGCCGGAAGGUUGUAAAAUCCUUUUGAAACUGAAGAAUAAGCGUUGUAGGGAAUGACAGCGUGGUGACAGUAGGUUUUGAAUAAGCAACGGCUAAUUACGUGCCAGCAGCCGC
rnacentral:rRNA from 1 species